GGUAGUGUGGCCGAGUGGUGGAAGGCGCUGGUUUCAGGUACCAGUCAUUUCGACGGCGUGGGUUCGAAUCCCAUCACUGUGA
rnacentral:tRNA from 1 species